rnacentral:rRNA from 1 species
GAUGAACGCUAGCGGCGUGCCUAAUACAUGCAAGUCGAGCGAACAGACGAGGAGCUUGCUCCUCUGACGUUAGCGGUGGACGGGUGAGUAACACGUGGAUAACCUACCUAUAAGACUGGGAUAACUUCGGGAAACCGGAGCUAAUACCGGAUAACAUGUUGAACCGCAUGGUUCAACAGUGAAAGACGGUCUUGCUGUCACUUAUAGAUGGAUCCGCGCCGCAUUAGCUAGUUGGUAAGGUAACGGCUUACCAAGGCAACGAUGCGUAGCCGACCUGAGAGGGUGAUCGGCCACACUGGAACUGAGACACGGUCCAGACUCCUACGGGAGGCAGCAGUAUGGAAUCUUCCGCAAUGGGCGAAAGCCUGACGGAGCAACGCCGCGUGAGUGAAGAAGGUCUUCGGAUCGUAAAACUCUGUUAUUAGGGAAGAACAAAUGUGUAAGUAACUAUGCACGUCUUGACGGUACCUAAUCAGAAAGCCACGGCUAACUACGUGCCAGCCGCCGCGGUAA